rnacentral:tRNA from 1 species
GUUGAGAUGGCCGAGUUGGUCUAAGGCGCUAGAUUAAGGUUCUGGUCCAAAAGGGCGUGGGUUCAAAUCCCACCUUCAACA